GCCAUCCUAGGAUGCAGAGCCUGGGUUUAAUCUGUUCCCAUUGUGGUUCUUCUAAGCUCCCAAUUUCCUGUGCUCCCUGCAAGGGACAGGAGGCAGAAUGAGGCCAAAAUCGUUUUCAAUUCAGUAUGCCUAGGGGAUAGUCAAGCCUGGCUGUGAAUCAGGACUUGGUCAGACCGAGAAUCUCUAUGGAUACUCUGGGAGUUUGGGCAGGACAGAAUAGGUUAACUAUUGGACCUGAGAGAAGACAGGAAAAGUAGGUUACCUUCAGCAGGCAAAGGACCCCAUGACACCUGAAUUUUCAUAUACGAUUGAAUUUAUGUGAAGAGCCUCUAAAAUUCACCACCAAUUACGAUACAGACUAUGAAUUAGGGUGAUAUCUUGUUUCUCCUCUUCAAAGAAAUACUGACGGGCCAAAGUAACUGGAUUGUCACUUCUUGAUGUCACUUCUUGAUGACACUUUCUAUGCAAAUGAGGAUUCUAGGAACCUGCCUUUGUGACUUCAGGUUAUUCAUAGAGUAUGAUCAUUCUUGUUCAGAUCCCAAGUGGCAUUUGAAGAUGUUGAAGCGUAGCUUUGGAUCUUUUGUGUGGCUGAUGAAAGGAGGAUGGGACUAUGGCUAGAUGGACCUCCUCAGAGCCUGAGGAUCACACAGAAGUGAGUGGCCAUGGACACACUUGAAAAGGAAUAACAUCUUUGUUGGAGUUAACCAAAUUCAUCAUUAAUACUCACCUGAUAAGGUAGAAAUAAGACUGAACAUUAAUUUGAUCAUAAAGACAUCCCUGAGUGCUGCAGACCAUCUUUUUCAAGCAGUUUUAGGUGCACCACAAAACUGAGCAGAAAGUACAGCUAUUUCCCGUCUACCUCCUGUCUGGACACAUGCACCACCUCCCUCAAGAUCCAUAUCCUCCCAGAGGAUCUGUUACUUACAACUGAUAAACCUAUAUUGCCACAUCAUUAUUCCUGGGAGUAGUUCCAGACUGGUUCCCUUUAGAGCUCAACAGCGCUACUACAAAGGCAAGCCCUUUCUGAGGACUCUCAUCAUGUUGCUGUGGGAACGCACAAGUUCCAGCCUGGGCUGAUGUGGGGCAAGUUGGGCCUCCCAUGGCAUCUCCUGGAGUCCUUCAGUAUCCACAUAGAGAGGACACUGAAGAGUUAAACUGCAGAGCCUCAAACCGCUGGAAUGUACUUCGCAUUUUCGGCCAGUGGAAGAACAGCGGCCUAUCUGCUCCUCCUUUGGCAGGCAGCUCAACAAGGCGCACCGACCGCUCCUUAUUCUGCAAUAAUACCUCUGCAGGGUAUUUAUAAUUCCCCCAUUUCCUGCAAAGAAAAAAACAGAACGUGCCGGAAAGCUUUAGGAAGGCUUUGCUCCGAGUACAAGGCUUUUGGAAUUCCCCAGAUGUCUGAUGUCUUCCCUUUCUCUUACUCUUCCCCUGAGCCCCAGUACACACUUCUCCUUAGGGUCAGGUAGGGAGUUCAGUUAUAAUCCUCAUUGUACACCUCACAGGGAUGAAGACAUACAUCCAUUUCUUUAAAUUAAGAAAUGAGGAAACACAUGGUAUAAAGAUACUGGUUAGAAUUUGGUAGAUAGGGAUCCCUGGGUGGCGCAGUGGUUUGGCGCCUGCCUUUGGCCCAGGAUGUGAUCCUGGAGACCCAGGAUCGAAUCCCACGUCGGGCUCCCGGUGCAUGGAGCCUGCUUCUCCCU